rnacentral:lncRNA from 1 species
CUGUCCACUCAUGGACAUCUCUAUCCGAAGAAGGAGCGGCAACGGUCAUGCUGAAAUAUGCCCGACAUCCCUCAGUGCCGAUAGAAGUGCUUGUGUUUGUGACGAAUGAAACACAGCGAGUGCGGCCAAGACCCCCAUGGGGUUUUUUCUUCGUCCACUUCAAGUGACAUUUUGAAAGCCAGUAAGAAGAGCAGACAGGAGAGACAACCAAGAGCAAGACCAUCCCCAUACCCGGUCCAACCACAAGUGUCUCUACACCUGGUCCAACCAAGACUUUCCCUAUACCCAAUCCAACCACAUCUGUCUCUGCACUACGUCCAACCAGGACUGCUUUUGUGCCUGGUCCAACCAGGACUGUCUCUACACCUGGUCCAACCACUAGUGUCUCUACACCUGGUCCAAUCAAGACCAUCUCUAUACCAGGGUACAAAGAUAAAUGGAAGUGAUUUUCCCAAGGACUUCAAGAAGAAGGACACUUUUGGAAGGGGUAUUAUGAACUCCAGAAAUAAAUCAUAUUAUUUCUCUGGUGCUGGUAACUGAGCCCUUCCUCCGAACCCCCAUGGACACCCACACAAAAUCCAACCGUGAUACACAACUUGGCCCCAGGACCCAUCAGAGGUCUUACAAACUAUUGAAAACAUGUCACACUAUUAUCAGCUAUUUCAGCACUCUGUUCAUGUGUGCGCGUGUGUGUGUGUGUGUGUGGGUGUGUGGGUGUGUGGUUUCCCCAGAUUCGGUGAGCAGAGACGAUUCAAGGCUGGCCCAGUAAAAGAGGAGAAGCUCCCAACCACAGGCUGAGAGCGGUGUCUCCUCUCUUAUGGAGUACAGGGGUAAACAGAGAACUUUGAGUUGUUGCACACCUUUGUGUCACAUGUUUAGACUGACUGCUUUCCUAGAGGGACAGAAGACAGCUUCCACACAUCACUGUAUGUCCUCAAGUAAGAGUUCCUCAUAGCCACAGUCCACGCGAUAUCUGACACGCAGUCCCGGACGGACCGGGGACCGGGAUCUAGCCGCAGGUUCGGCUCAAGCAUCGAGUGCGGACAUGAUCUACAACAUGUUUUUGUGCAGCCAUUCAUGAUCAAUAACCUAAGGCUAAAACAGAGACUUGUGAAAGUUCUGACUAUACACAGUAACCUUACUGUCAGUGAGAUGUGCUGUGCCGUGUGUACAUGAUGUGGUGGAAUAAAUUCCCUCUGGCCCUCA